CCUGCGGAGGGAUCAUUACCGAGUUUACAACUCCCAAACCCCUGUGAACAUACCUAUACGUUGCCUCGGCGGAUCAGCCCGCGCCCCGUAAAACGGGACGGCCCGCCCGAGGACCCCUAAACUCUGUUUUUAGUGGAACUUCUGAGUAAAACAAACAAAUAAAUCAAAACUUUCAACAACGGAUCUCUUGGUUCUGGCAUCGAUGAAGAACGCAGCAAAAUGCGAUAAGUAAUGUGAAUUGCAGAAUUCAGUGAAUCAUCGAAUCUUUGAACGCACAUUGCGCCCGCCAGUAUUCUGGCGGGCAUGCCUGUUCGAGCGUCAUUUCAACCCUCAAGCUCAGCUUGGUGUUGGGACUCGCGGUAACCCGCGUUCCCCAAAUCGAUUGGCGGUCACGUCGAGCUUCCAUAGCGUAGUAAUCAUACACCUCGUUACUGGUAAUCGUCGCGGCCACGCCGUAAAACCCCAACUUCUGAAUGU
rnacentral:sRNA from 1 species